AUGGACGGAGCAGACGCGCCUCAGCCCGCGAGGUCGGGGUCGGGGGUCACCGCGUGCUCCACGUCCACGGCCCUGGGCAGGAUGAACGGCGGCGCCAACGCCAGCAACAACGCCGCCGCCGCAAUGGAGGAGCGCUUCGCUGAUGUCUGCAAGAGGAAGCUAGUGCUCGACGAGAGCACGACGAGGCAGGCGAUGCAGCUGUUUAAGGAGACCAAGAUCAUCCUGCUGUCCAGCAUGUCAUCCUUGGGCAGUGGAUCGCCCGAGGAGAUUGAGAGGUCCUGGUGCGCUUGUGUCCUUUACUGCGUGUCGAAGCUCGGCAACGCAGGGAAGGCCAAGGAAGACCGUGGCAUCACGCUGCGCCAGAUUUUGAGGGCAUUCGAUCUCAAGAUUGUUGAUUUUUUCAAGGAGAUGCCUCAGUUCUGCAUAAAGGUUGGAUUCAUUCUGACUGGUCUCUAUGGUUCAGAUUGGGAGAAGAGGCUUGAGUUACAGGAGCUGCAGGCCAAUCUUGUCCAUUUAUGCUCCCUAGGCCGGCAUUACAGGCGCGCAUACCAGGAGCUAUUCCUCUUAAAUGAUGGCAAACCUGCAAAUAAUUCUUCAGAGCUAAACGUGCAACAAGCUUCUGAAUAUUAUGACUUUGGAUGGUUACUCUUCUUAGUUCUGAGAAACCAAGCAUCAAGCGCCGUGAAGAAUCUUUUAACAUCCACAACUGAGUUGGUUUCUGUGUUGGCUGUGCUUAUUAUUCAUAUCCCCGUGCGGUUAAGGAACUUCAGCAUCGAGGAUUCGUCCUGCUUUGCUAAGAAGUCAGAUAAGGGAGUCAAUCUUAUUGCAUCCCUCUGUGAAAGAUAUCUUACCUCAGAAGAUGAGUUGAGCAAAGCACUGCAGAAGACAAACAUUCUCAUAAAGGAUAUUUUGAAAAAGAAACCAUGCUCGGAUGUUUCAGAGUGCCAGCAGGGCAGUUUAUCGUUUAUUGAUCCAGAGGGCUUGACGUUUUUCAAGAAUUUUCUCGAGGAAGAUUCAUUGAAAUCAAGUUUGCAGGUCCUGGAAAAGGAAUAUGUGAAUGGACUUGAUACAAAGGGAGAACUAGAUGCACGGAUGUUUGCUAAUGAUGAGGACAGUUUGCUUGGCAGUGGAAGUCUGUCAGGAGGUGCCCUUAAAUUGCCGGGCACAAAGAGAAAGUAUGAUGAUGUUAUGGCCUCACCUACCAAAUCAACAGCAAGUCGAGCCCCAAUGUCUCCUCCACGUUUCUGUCCGUCACCUAAUGGAAAUAGCUUCUGCAACUCAAAGAUGGCUCCUUUCACCCCAGUGAGCACAGCCAUGACGACUGCCAAGUGGCUUCGAAGUACAAUAUCGCCUCUCCCUUCCAAACCUUCUGGGGAGUUGCUGCGAUUCUUCUCUGCAUGUGAUAAGGAUGUAACAGAUGACAUCAUAUGCAGAGCUGCCAUUAUACUUGGAGCCAUAUUCACAGGCAGUUCUUUUGGUGAGCGUAUGUGUACUAGUUUGCGAAACACAAGCGGGAUGGAUGCUAUCUGGACAGAGCAAAGGAAAAUGGAAGCUCUUAAGCUGUACUAUAGAGUUCUGGAGUCAAUGUGCAGAGCAGAGUCACAGAUCUUGAGUGGGAGCAAUCUUACGUCACUUCUGUCUAAUGAGCGAUUCCAUCGUUGUAUGAUUGCCUGUUCUGCUGAGUUAGUUCUGGCCACUCACAAGACAGUCACAAUGAUGUUCCCAGCUGUGCUGGAGAAAACUGGCAUAACAGCUUUCGAUCUGAGCAAAGUCAUAGAGAGCUUUGUCAGACAUGAAGAUUCACUUCCGCGAGAGUUGAAGCGUCAUUUGAAUUCACUUGAGGAGCGACUUCUGGAAAGCAUGGCAUGGGAGAAAGGCUCCUCAAUGUACAAUUCCUUAAUUGUUGCUAGACCUACAUUGUCUGCAGAAAUAAACCGGCUAGGUUUACUGGCUGAACCAAUGCCUUCGCUUGAUGCUAUUGCGGUGCAUCAUGAUAUUUCACUGGGUGGCCUUCCACCUCUCCCAUUUCAUAAGCAACCAGAUAAAGAUGAAGUUAGAUCGCCCAAAAGAGCAUGUACUGAAAGGAGAAAUGUGUUGGUGGACAACUCAUUUAGAUCACCAGUAAAGGAUGUCAUCAAAUCAAAGUUUCUACCUCCUCUUCAAUCGGCGUUUGCAAGCCCAACAAGACCUAAUCCGGCAGCAGGAGGAGAAACAUGCGCAGAGACAGGAAUAGGUGUAUUCUUGAGCAAGAUAACAAAACUUGCAGCCAUUAGAAUCAAAUGUCUCUGUGAAAGAUUGCAACUUAGUCAGCAAAUUCUGGAGCGAGUAUACUCCCUUGUCCAGCAAAUUAUCAGCCAACAAACCGCUCUUUUUUUCAACAGGCACAUUGACCAGAUUAUACUGUGCUGCAUAUAUGGAGUUGCAAAGAUAUCUCAACUAGCCCUUACCUUCAAGGAGAUUAUUUUCAGCUACAGAAAACAGUCUCAAUGCAAGCCACAGGUUUUCCGUAGUGUUUAUGUUAAUUGGCCAUCAAGGAGCCGCAGUGGGAAAAUAGGAGAGGACCAUGUUGAUAUCAUCACUUUCUACAACGAAGUAUUUAUUCCUACCGUCAAGCCUUUGUUGGUGGAUCUUGGACCUGGUACCAGUCCAAACAGAAACAAUGAGCCAAAAAGUGGUGGUGAUGCAGCCCCAUUUCCAGAAUCUCCUCGGCUGUCUAGGUUUCCGAACCUUCCUGACAUGUCUCCAAAGAAAGUUUCUGCCACUCAUAAUGUAUAUGUCUCCCCGCUACGAUCGUCAAAGAUGGACACCCUGCUUUCGCCGAGCUCCAAGAGCUAUUACGCGUGUGUCGGGGAGAGCACCCAUGCAUUUCAGAGCCCCUCCAAGGAUCUGAAUGCGAUUAACACCCGCCUAAACAGCGGGAAGAAAGUUAAUGGAAGGCUCAACUUCGACGUGGUGAGCGAUCUGGUGGUGGCCAGAAGCCUGAGCGACCAGAACGGCGGCUCCGCUGCUGCGAUGGCGGUCUUCGGCACCAAGACGCCGGUAAAGGGCGAGCAGCAGGACCCUUAG
rnacentral:rRNA from 1 species